rnacentral:misc_RNA from 1 species
AUGAUUGGGAGGAGCUUUAACAAAAGACUGUGAGUACGAUUAGAUUAACGUUAGCCUCAAAUGUGAAGUACAAUGUCUUAGAGGAGACUUCGCCAGCUAUUUUGUGAAAAAAAUUGAAAAGCCUAUACAUGUCAAAGUCACUCACAAAUCGUUUAUACUUAAAGAAGGAGUUAUACUAACUCAAAAUAGAUUAAGGUACUG